AACGAACGCUGGCGGCAGGCUUAACACAUGCAAGUCGAACGCCCCGCAAGGGGAGUGGCAGACGGGUGAGUAACGCGUGGGAACAUACCCUUUUCUACGGAAUAGCUCUGGGAAACUGGAAUUAAUACCGUAUACGCCCUACGGGGGAAAGAUUUAUCGGGGAAGGAUUGGCCCGCGUUGGAUUAGCUAGUUGGUGGGGUAAAGGCCUACCAAGGCUACGAUCUAUAGCUGGUCUGAGAGGAUGAUCAGCCACACUGGGACUGAGACACGGCCCAGACUCCUACGGGAGGCAGCAGUGGGGAAUAUUGGACAAUGGGCGCAAGCCUGAUCCAGCCAUGCCGCGUGAGUGAUGACGGCCUUAGGGUUGUAAAGCUCUUUCGUCCGGGACGAUAAUGACGGUACCGGAAGAAGAAGCCCCGGCUAACUUCGUGCCAGCAGCCGCGGUAACAC
rnacentral:rRNA from 1 species